CCAGCGCGUGGUGGCUUCUGGUGUUCGGUUGUUUCUCUGGCAGCUUGCCGUUUUAUCGGUGUUGGGGGAGGAACCACGUUGUCUGGCUGUGGAUGGUGCCGGGAGGCUCACCGGGCCUGCGGGAACGGGUGCGGGGAAGAUUCGGGAGUCGGGGAGAUUCCGUCUCCGUGCCCUGUGCACCCCUUGACCCCAGAGAAUGUCCUGACUACCCAGGCCCGGAUAUCCUUAGCAGUAGCGGGGGCGACCGCGCGGGGAUGAAUGCAAGGACCUCCUUUGGAGCCCGCCCGGGAGUCGUCGCCCUUGGCGUUGUGUCUGCUUUACAGAGCGGGGGACGGAGGCUCAAAGCCACGCGUUCCGAGGUCGUGACCAGCUUGUGGCUGGACUACGGGCGUGACGAGUGAGCCGAUCAACUAGUCACGGCUGAAGGAUUCUUCCACCCGACCUGACUCGGAGUCCCAGUGUCCUGAGUCCCCGACGGAGCUACAGGCCUCGAUGUUCUGGAUGAUGGAGCGUUCGCAGGUGGGGAGUCUUCAUCCCAGAAUUCGGAAAAAGAAAAUUUAUCUCUUCAUGGGACUGCUUGCUUCCUCUAAGGAAGGUGGAUAUAACGUCAGUGGCUGGACCACCCUCACUGCAUAGCACCUGCCUGUCACCAGACACUGAGGCCCUUUUGCAGAACUCACAGAGAACUGACACUGAAGACACACCCAGUAAACACAUGGCAUAUGGAGAGGUGUUCAAUCA